GACGAACGCUGGCGGCGUGCUUAACACAUGCAAGUCGAACGGAGAGGCCCUGCUUUUGUGGGGUGCUCGAGUGGCGAACGGGUGAGUAACACGUGAAUAACCUGCCCUUGACUUUGGGAUAACUUCAGGAAACUGGGGCUAAUACCGGAUAGGAGCUCCUGCUGCAUGGUGGGGGUUGGAAAGUUUCGGCGGUUGGGGAUGGACUCGCGGCUUAUCAGCUUGUUGGUGGGGUAGUGGCUUACCAAGGCUUUGACGGGUAGCCGGCCUGAGAGGGUGACCGGCCACAUUGGGACUGAGAUACGGCCCAGACUCCUACGGGAGGCAGCAGUGGGGAAUAUUGCACAAUGGGCGGAAGCCUGAUGCAGCAACGCCGCGUGCGGGAUGACGGCCUUCGGGUUGUAAACCGCUUUCGCCUGUGACGAAGCGUGAGUGACGGUAAUGGGUAAAGAAGCACCGGCUAACUACGUG
rnacentral:rRNA from 1 species